rnacentral:rRNA from 1 species
GACGAACGCUGGCGGCGUGCUUAACACAUGCAAGUCGAACGGAAAGGCCUGCUUUCCCUUGUGGAUUGCGGGUACUCGAGUGGCGAACGGGUGAGUAACACGUGAGUGAUCUGCCCCCAACUUGGGUAUAAGCCUGGGAAACUGGGUCUAAUUCCCGAUAGGACUGCAGGGUGGUGCCUGUGGUGGAAAACGAUUUUCUAGUGGUUGGGGAUGAGCUCGCGGCCUAUCAGCUUGUUGGUGGGGUAAUGGCCUACCAAGGCGGCGACGGGUAGCCGGCCUGGGGGGGGGGGCGGAAAGAGUGGGACGGAGUGCCGGCACAGACGCCGGGGGGAGGCAGGGGGGGGAAAUGUGGCAGACGGGGGGGAAGCUGGAGGCAGCGCCGCCGCGUGGGGAAUGCCGGCUUUGGGGUUGUAACUUCCUUUGGCCGGGGAGGAAGCCACUGGGUUGGAGGGGGGGGGACGGUGGGGGAAAAAAAAGCCCCGGCAAACUAGGUC